rnacentral:rRNA from 1 species
CCUACGGGGGGCAGCAGUGGGGAAUAUUGGACAAUGGGGGCAACCCUGAUCCAGCCAUGCCGCGUGUGUGAAGAAGGCCCUCGGGUUGUAAAGCACUUUCAGUGAGGAAGAACGCCUGGUGGUUAAUACCCAUCAGGAAAGACAUCACUCACAGAAGAAGCACCGGCUAACUCCGUGCCAGCAGCCGCGGUAAUACGGAGGGUGCGAGCGUUAAUCGGAAUUACUGGGCGUAAAGCGCGCGUAGGUGGCUUGAUAAGCCGGUUGUGAAAGCCCCGGGCUCAACCUGGGAACGGCAUCCGGAACUGUCAAGCUAGAGGGCAGGAGAGGAAGGUAGAAUUCCCGGUGUAGCGGUGAAAUGCGUAGAGAUCGGGAGGAAUACCAGUGGCGAAGGCGGCCUUCUGGACUGACACUGACACUGAGGUGCGAAAGCGUGGUAGCAAACAGGAUUAGAUACCCUUGUAGUC